rnacentral:rRNA from 1 species
GGACGAACGCUGGCGGCGUGCCUAAUACAUGCAAGUAGAACGCUGAAGGAGGAGCUUGCUUCUCUGGAUGAGUUGCGAACGGGUGAGUAACGCGUAGGUAACCUGCCUGGUAGCGGGGGAUAACUAUUGGAAACGAUAGCUAAUACCGCAUAAUAGUAGAUGUUGCAUGACAUUUGCUUAAAAGGUGCAAUUGCAUCACUACCAGAUGGACCUGCGUUGUAUUAGCUAGUUGGUGGGGUAACGGCUCACCAAGGCGACGAUACAUAGCCGACCUGAGAGGGUGAUCGGCCACACUGGGACUGAGACACGGCCCAGACUCCUACGGGAGGCAGCAGUAGGGAAUCUUCGGCAAUGGACGGAAGUCUGACCGAGCAACGCCGCGUGAGUGAAGAAGGGUUUCGGAUCGUAAAGCUCGGUUGUAAGAGAAGAACGAGUGUGAGAGUGGAAAGUUCACACUGUGACGGUAUCUUACCAGAAAGGGACGGCUAACUACGUG